GACGAACGCUGGCGGCGUGCUUAACACAUGCAAGUCGAACGGAAAGGCCCUGCUUUUGUGGGGUGCUCGAGUGGCGAACGGGUGAGUAACACGUGAGUAACCUGCCCUUGACUUUGGGAUAACUUCAGGAAACUGGGGCUAAUACCGGAUAGGAGCUCCUGCUGCAUGGUGGGGGUUGGAAAGUUUCGGCGGUUGGGGAUGGACUCGCGGCUUAUCAGCUAGUUGGUGGGGUAGUGGCUUACCAAGGCUUUGACGGGUAGCCGGCCUGAGAGGGUGACCGGCGACAUUGGGACUGCGAGACGGCCCAGACUCCUACGGGAGGCAGCAGUGGAGAAUAUUGCACAAUGGGCGGAAGCCUGAUGCAGCAACGCCGCGUGCGGGAUAACGUCCUACGGGUUGUAAACCGCUUUCGCCUGUGACGAAGCGUGAGUGACGGUAAUGGGUAAAGAAGCACCGGCUAACUACGUG
rnacentral:rRNA from 1 species